AGCAAAAGCGACCUGAUAUAGAGGUUGGCAAAUUGGGGAAAUUGACUAGAAGAUUGCCAAAAGAGUUUAGAAGCUACAAAGGAGAAAAUUAACCCCUUGGGUCUCAGAUUAGGUACCUGUCUUAUGGGACUGUGGCUGACAGAAGCUGAUGCUGAUACUGGAGACAAAAGAAUCUGAGGAACUCAUCAUUUUUAUGCAGUGGCUAAAAACUAGAGAACAACCUCAUUUCCCUCCCUUUCACUUUUGGGGCUGGAGUCACACCUCAGUCUUUUCUCAAGACACAUCUCAGAGGACGGACACCAGAGGAAGGUUGCCUUUUAUCCACUGCUAAAGAGAAAUAUCAAACAGUUCAAAUCACUGGAUAGGUAAAGAAAAAUAAAGAGGAAAUCUAAGCAUCUCUCCAGCGCUCUGAGGCUGGAGUCAGGACGGGAAGUUGUGCAGGCAGCAGACAUGGCUGUGAGCUGGAACAGAAGGCCUGUGUGAGCGCAAGGGCCAAAUACUGCAUCUCAUCGAGCAAGUUUAAUAGGCUCGGGGGGCCUCGCAUUGAAGUUGGAACACAUCUUAAAAAG